CAGCCGCCGCGGGAAUACGUAGGUGGCAAGCGUUGUCCGGAAUUAUUGGGCGUAAAGGGCUCGCAGGCGGUUUAGUAAGUCUGAAGUUAAAGGCAUUGGCUCAACCAAUGUAUGCUUUGGAAACUGUUAGACUUGAGUGCAGAAGGGGAGAGUGGAAUUCCAUGUGUAGCGGUGAAAUGCGUAGAUAUAUGGAGGAACACCGGUGGCGAAAGCGGCUCUCUGGUCUGUCACUGACGCUGAGGCUCGAAAGCGUGGGUAGCGAACAGGAUUAGAUACCCCUGUAGUCCCUGUCUCUUAUACA
rnacentral:rRNA from 1 species